ACUGGGCCUCCAGAGAAGGCCCGUCUCUGUGCGCAGCUGUCUGCACAACGCCUCCUUGUCCGGUCCUCCUCUCUGGCUUCCUUCCUGUCGCUGUCCGGCGCGGCGCCGCCGCCGGCCGUGGCGAGCCCCCUCUGUCCGUCAGGGCGCGACUAUCCUUCGAAGAUUGUCGAGACUCCGCAAAUCAGCUCGGAGAAAGCGGCCUCCCUAAGGCAUCUCCUUGACUACUCUUGUCAUCCCAAGGCAAGAAACGGAGACCGGCGUUCAGAGGGAAGGGUGUAGCCUCCCUUCGCCCGCCUCAACUGUUGCCUCGCUCUCGCCGGAGGAGGAGUCGAUCGCUCGCGCCGGCCGCCGGAGCUCCGCCAUGGCCGAAGAUGGCCCUGCCGGCUACUACGUCGGCCGUCCGAUUAACUACGACGACCAGAAAUCUCAGCCGCCGCCGCCGACGUCCCAGGCCGCCGCCGAGCAGGUCAACGCGCAAGUUCCUGGCUACUACGCCGGCCGUGUGGCCGGCAAGAAAGCCGCCGCCGGCGACCAGAGCUCCGCUGCUGCAGAUCAGACGAGCAAACAAUCGGGCUUCCGUGCCAGCUGUUUCGGAUGCUUCUCCGGCGGUCACACUGCAAAAUAAAUUCAGUCGAGAAGGAUGGGUCAGGAGUCAAGAUGAUGGAUGGCACAUCAUUGUUUGGGAGGAUCGAGAUUUUUUUUUCAAGAUUUUUUUUCCAGCAGUGGCAUUGUCAAUUUGUACAAUCGUAUGCGGAUGCAGAUCAAUGAAUUUAAUUAUUCCGUAUACCUUGAUGUCAAUUUGUACAAGCGUAUGCAGAUGCAGAAUCAAAUAUUUUACCUUUUGGGAAGAACACUGCAUGAAAUGUUAUAUGUACCAUCUAGACUGUAAAUCUGCAACCUAUUUU